CCUACGGGAGACAGCAGUGAGGAAUAUUGGUCAAUGGGCGCGAGCCUGAACCAGCCAAGUAGCGUGAAGGAUGACUGCCCUACGGGUUGUAAACUUCUUUUAUAAAGGAAUAAAGUGAGGCACGUGUGCCUUUUUGUAUGUACUUUAUGAAUAAGGAUCGGCUAAAUCCGUGCCAGCAGCCGCGGUAAUACGGAGGAUCCGAGCGUUAUCCGGUUUUAUUGGGUUUAAAGGGAGCGUAAAUGGGUUGUUAAGUCAGUUGUGAAAGUUUGCGGCUUAACCGUCAAAUUGCAAUUGAUACUGGCAGCCUUGAGUAAAAUAGAGGUAGGCGGAAUUCGUGGUGUAGCGGUGAAAUGCUUAGAUAUAACGAAGAACACCGAUUGCGAAGGCAGCCUACUAAGCUGCCACUGACAUUGAGGCUCGAAAGUGUGGGUAUCAAACAGGAUUAGAUACCCGUGUAGUC
rnacentral:rRNA from 1 species